rnacentral:lncRNA from 1 species
UUAAAUUCUCUUCUGUCCCUCGAUUUCAAUUCCACUGCUCCUCGUCGGCUGAAUAUAUCGCCGGCGACAGGGCUUCUUCUCGUUCUCCGGCGACAACUCAGGUUGAGAUUAACCGAUUCUCCCACCCCCCCUCUGUGUGUGUGUGUGUGUGUGUCAAUAUCUAUCUCUAUCUCUCAGUUUCGUCUAAUCUCGUAAUUUCGUAAAC